CUGGACCAGAGAAGACCUGACCGCUUAAGGGUNGCGGAAAGGCCGUGGGGGAGCAAAAACCAGGGGAUAGAUACCCCCGUGGUAGUCNCACCGCCGUAAACCGAUGGUCGANCUAGGAGGNUGAGCCCUUCGAGCCGUUGGACUUUCCGGAGCUAACGCGCUUAAGUCGACCGCCGGGGAGUACGGCCGAAAGGUUAAAACUCAAAGGAAUGACGGGGGCCCGCACAAGACGGUGGAGCAUGUGGUUUAAUUCGAUAGACAACGCGAAGAACCUUACCCUACGUCUUGAAAUCCAGUAGAACUUUNCCCAGAGAUGCAGGGGUUGCCCCUUCGGGAACUNAUGAGAACAAGGUGCGUGCAUGGCGUCUGUCAGCUCCGCUGUUCGUGAAAAUAGUGGGGUUAAGUCCCGCAACGAGCGCAACCCCUUAGUCCUUUUAGAUUGCAAGCGGAUCCGGCCGGGAACUCAAAGGAGACUGCCAGGUGAUAAACUGGAGGAAAGGUGGGGAUGACGUCAAGUCAUCAUG
rnacentral:rRNA from 1 species